AGUAGUCUUAUUAGAAAAAAGAAAAAAUAAUAAGAGCUGAUUAUUCCCAUGGAAGAUUGUCCUGAGGGCAUUUGUAAAGGGAAAACUUUGAAGCUGCAGUCUUGGCACCUGUAGUUGAGAAGCUGUCCCACUGAAGGGACCUGGGAUAGACCCAUCUCUGAUUCUCUAUGGGCUGCUGUGUUACCAGUUCUCAAAAUGGGGGAAGAGAAUUGUGCUCAGGCCGAAUGCUGCACUCAAAUGAGGAAAGGGCAUGGGAAGAGGACCAUAGUUUCUGUGGCCUCCCUAAGAUGGCCUGCCACCUCUCCUGAUGCUGAUGACUUCUUGUGAUGAUUACAGAUCCAGACUCCUGUGCCUUACUGCUGCCCAUGGCCAACUCUCUGCUGAUGACCGGGCAUGACUACACCAGUUGUUGGGUACUUUGACUAGAACACCAACCAAGUCAUUAGAAAUAUAAUGCUUUGUUCUUUCUAGCUCCAAGAUAUGAACAUGUGACAACCUAAACAAACAAAAUCCCAACAAGAGUGUCAGAUCUGCAAAUUACAGUUAACCCUUGAAUAACAGAGAGGGUAGAGGUACUGAUCACUGGCACAGUUGAAAAUUCAAGUACAAGUUUUGACUCUCCCAAAACUUAAUUACUAAUAACCUACUGUUGACUAGAAGCCUACUGAUAAUAUAAAUGAUUUAUCAACACAUAUUUUAUAUGUUAUAUGUAUUAGGUACUGUAUUUUUAUAAUAAAGUAAGCUAGAGCAAAGAAAAUGUUAUUAAGAAAAUCACAAGAAAGAGAAAAGAUAUUUACUUUCCACUGAGUGGAAGUGGCUCAUAAUAAAGGUCUUCAUUCUCAUCAUCUUCAAACUGGGUAGGCUGAGGAGGAGCAAUAAGAGAAGGGAUUGGUCUUGCCAUCUCAGGGAUGGCAGAGAUGGAAAACAAUCCAUGUAUAAAUAUGGACCCAUGUAGUUCAAAGGUCAACUGUAUUUACCUUAAAUUACUUUAAAUUACUUGUCUGACCUGAGAUUUUCCUGACCAUAAUCCAAGAGAUUGACACAUUUUUAAAGUUUGUUCUUGUGCUUUGAAAAAUGACAAUUUGUUUUCCAGAAGUUGCCCACCACCAUGAUUUAAGACAGAAGAAGCCUGAGGUUCUCCCAAAGUCUAUUGAGCAUAAGAGUUUUUUGCCUUCUAGUAAAAUAAACCCAUAUUUGUAAAGUGUCUGCACCA